rnacentral:rRNA from 1 species
UACGGGAGGCAGCAGUGGGGAAUAUUGCACAAUGGACGCAAGCCUGAUGCAGCCAUGCCGCGUGUAUGAAGAAGGCCUUCGGGUUGUAAAGUACUUUCAGUCGUGAGGAAGGUGUUAAGGUUAAUAACCUUAGCAAUUGACGUUAGCGACAGAAGAAGCACCGGCUAACUCCGUGCCAGCAGCCGCGGUAAUACGGAGGGUGCGAGCGUUAAUCGGAAUUACUGGGCGUAAAGGGCACGCAGGCGGUUAAUUAAGUUGGAUGUGAAAUCCCCGGGCUUAACCUGGGAAUGGCAUUCAAGACUGGUUAGCUAGAGUCUUGUAGAGGGGGUAGAAUUCCAUGUGUAGCGGUGAAAUGCGUAGAGAUGUGGAGGAAUACCGGUGGCGAAGGCGGCCCCUGGGACAAAGACUGACGCUCAUGUGCGAAAGCGUGGGGAGCAAACAGGAUUAGAUACC